rnacentral:rRNA from 1 species
CGUUUUAGUGGCGAACGGGUGAGUAAUACAUAGGUAACCUACCCUUAAGACGAGGAUAGCCAUUGGAAACGAUGGAUAAAACUGGAUAGGAUAUAGAGGAAGAAUCUUUUAUAUUUAAAAGAGAGAUCUGCUUAAGGAGGGGCCUGUGGCGCAUUAGCUAGUUGGUGGGGUAAGGGCCUACCAAGGCGAUGAUGCGUAGCCGGACUGAGAGGUUGAACGGCCACAAUGGAACUGAGAACGGUCCAUACUCCUACGGGAGGCAGCAG